GGGAAAGGUGAAAAGCACUUCGAACAGAAGAGUGAAAUAGUCCCUGAACCCAUACGCCUACAAGCAGUCGGAGCCGCUUCGUGCGGUGACGGCGUGCCUUUUGCAUAAUGAGCCUACGAGUUACUCAUCACCAGCGAGGUUAAGUACUUCAGGUACGUAAGCCGAAGCGAAAGCGAGUCUGAAUAGGGCGUCAAGUUGGUGGUGGUAGACGCGAAACCUUAGUGAUCUACCCAUGGGCAGGGUGAAGGUUUGGUAACACAAACUGGAGGCCCGAACCGGUAAACGUUGAAAAGUUUUCGGAUGACCUGUGGGUAGGGGUGAAAGGCCAAUCAAACUGGGAAAUAGCUCGUACUCUCCGAAAUGCAUUUAGGUGCAGCCUCUGUUGUUUUGUUCUAGAGGUAGAGCUACUGAUUGGAUGCGAGGGCUUCACCGCCUAUCAAAUCCGGCCAAACUCCGAAUGCUAGAACAUAAAGACAGGGAGUGAGCCAGCGGGUGCUAAGGUCCGUUGACGAAAGAGGGAGAACUCAGACCAUCAGCUAAGGUCCCCAAUUAUAUGCUAAGUUGGAAUAAAAACGGGGUGGGACUGCUUAGACAGCUAGGAUGUUGGCUUGGAAGCAGCCAUUCAUUUAAAGAGUGCGUAACAGCUCACUAGUCGAGCGGUCCUGCAUGGAUAAUACGCGGGCAUAAGCAUAUAACCGAAGCUAUGGGAUUGUAGAUGAUACAAUCGGUAGGAGAGCAUUCCAUUCAGCAUAGAAGCAGUACCGUGAGGUAUUGUGGAGCGGAUGGAAAAGCAAAUGUAGGCAUAAGUAACGAUAAUGCGGGUGAGAACCCCGCACGCCGAAAGAUCAAGGAUUCCCCGGCAAUGUCAAUCAUCCGGGGGUAAGUCGGAUCCUAAGGGUAAGCCGAGUGGCGAUCCCGAUGGUAAACAGGUUAAUAUUCCUGUACUGAUCAUAACUGCGAUGCAGCGACGCAGAGGUGACACUGCUGCGUACUGACGGAAUAGUACGUUGAAACCCGUAUUCUUUGAUACCGGUAGUGAAGCACGCCGGUAGAGAUGAAAGGUGAUAGUACCGCAAUGCUUCGGUUGCGCGGAUAACGCAGGUAAGCUGACUGCCAAGAAAACCUGCUAAGCUUCAGGUAAUGAUCAUCCGUACUGUAAACGGACACACGUGAUCAGGUAGAAAAUACUAAGGCGCUCGAGAGAUUCAUGGUUAAGGAACUAGGCAAAAUGGUCCUGUAACUUCGGGAUAAAGGACGCUCUUGUGAAAGAGCCGCAGAUAAUAGGCCCAGGCGACUGUUUACCAAAAACACAUGGCUAUGCUAAUUCGCAAGAAGAUGUAUAUGGCCUGACACCUGCCCGGUGCCGGAAGGUUAAGAGGAGAGCUCAGAGGUAACUCGAAGGUUUGAAUUGAAGCCCCGGUAAACGGCGGCCGUAACUAUAACGGUCCUAAGGUAGCGAAAUUCCUUGUCGGGU
rnacentral:rRNA from 1 species